UACGUAGGGGGCAAGCGUUGUCCGGAAUUAUUGGGCGUAAAGAGCGUGUAGGCGGUUCGAUAAGUUUGCUGUAAAAGUCGGGGGCUCAACCCCCGAAAGCCGGUGAAUACUGUCGGACUAGAGUACGGAAGAGGCGAGUGGAAUUCCUGGUGUAGCGGUGAAAUGCGCAGAUAUCAGGAGGAACACCAAUUGCGAAGGCAGCUCGCUGGGACGUAACUGACGCUGAGACGCGAAAGCGUGGGGAGCAAACAGGAU
rnacentral:rRNA from 1 species